rnacentral:rRNA from 1 species
AACGAACGCUGGCGGCAGGCUUAACACAUGCAAGUCGAACGCAUCCUUCGGGGUGAGUGGCAGACGGGUGAGUAACGCGUGGGAACGUGCCCUUCAGUUCGGGAUAACCCAGGGAAACUUGGGCUAAUACUGGAUACGUGCGAGAGCAGAAAGAUGUAUCGCUGAAGGAUCGGCCCGCGUCUGAUUAGCUAGUUGGUGGGGUAAUGGCCCACCAAGGCGACGAUCAGUAGCUGGUCUGAGAGGAUGAUCAGCCACAGUGGGACAGAGACCCGGCCCAAACUCAUACGGGAGGCAGCAGUGGGAAAUUUUUGACAAUGGGCGCAAGCCUGAUCCAGCCAUGCCGCGUGGGUGAUGAAGGCCUUAGGGUUGUAAAGCUCUUUCGUCCGGGACGAUAAUGACGGUACGGGAAGAAGAAGCCCCGGCUAACUUCGUGCCAGCCGCCGCGGUAA